ACCGGUUCCCCGCAGAUGACGACCAACGACGGGUCUGGAUAGCUUGUGUAAACAGAAAAGAUUUUGUGCCAUCUCCUUGGGCUCGCGUUUGCUCCGAACAUUUUGUUUCCGGUGAACGUUCGGUAACCAACUAUGCGCCGAUGGUCAAGCUCGGAUACCCACGAAAGCUAUGCACAAGUGAGGAUUCUACACCUGACCCGAGUCAAGCUGAUGGUGGUGGUGUUGAUAUAUGCACGGGUGAGGAUUCUACACCUGACCCG
rnacentral:lncRNA from 1 species